rnacentral:rRNA from 1 species
AGAAUCAACGCUGGCGGCGUGCCUAACACAUGCAAGUCGAACGAGAAAGUGGAGCAAUCCACGAGUAAAGUGGCGCACGGGUGAGUAACACGUGACUAACCUACCCUUGAGUGGGGGAUAACCUAGAGAAAUCUGGGCUAAUACCGCAUAAUACCUUCGGGUCAAAGGAGCAAUUCGCUUAAGGAGGGGUCGCGGCCGAUUAGUUAGUUGGCGGGGUAAUGGCCCACCAAGACGAUGAUCGGUA